rnacentral:rRNA from 1 species
UCGCAAGAGAACCGGAACACAGGUGCUGCAUGGCUGUCGUCAGCUCGUGUCGUGAGAUGUUGGGUUAAGUCCCGCAACGAGCGCAACCCUUGUCAUUAGUUGCCAUCAUUUGUUGGGCACUCUAAUGAGACUGCCGGUGACAAACCGGAGGAAGGUGGGGAUGACGUCAAGUCCUCAUGGCCCUUAUGGGUAGGGCUUCACACGUCAUACAAUGGUCGGUACAGAGGGUUGCCAACCCGCGAGGGGGAGCUAAUCCCACAAAGCCGAUCGUAGUCCGGAUCGCAGUCUGCAACUCGACUGCGUGAAGUCGGAAUCGCUAGUAAUCGUGGAUCAGCAUGUCACGGUGAAUACGUCCCCGGGUCUU